CAUCGGCCACGUCGACUCCGGGAAGUCAACCACCACGGGUCACUUGAUCUACAAGCUCGGCGGUAUCGACAAGCGUGUGAUCGAGAGGUUCGAGAAGGAGGCUGCUGAGAUGAACAAGAGGUCCUUCAAGUACGCGUGGGUGUUGGACAAGCUUAAGGCUGAGCGUGAGCGUGGUAUCACCAUUGAUAUUGCUCUUUGGAAGUUUGAGACCACCAAGUACUACUGCACGGUUAUUGACGCUCCUGGUCAUCGUGAUUUCAUUAAGAACAUGAUCACUGGUACCUCCCAGGCUGAUUGUGCUGUUUUGAUUAUUGACUCCACUACUGGUGGGUUUG
rnacentral:lncRNA from 1 species